GACGAACGCUGGCGGCGUGCUUAACACAUGCAAGUCGAACGGAAAGGCCCUGCCUUUGUGGGGUGCUCGAGUGGCGAACGGGUGAGUAACACGUGAGUAACCUGCCCUUGACUUUGGGAUAACUUCAGGAAACUGGGGCUAAUACUGGAUAGGAGCUCCUGCUGCAUGUUGGGGUUGGGAAUGUUUCGGCGGUUGGGGUUGGACGCGGGGCUUCUCAGUUUUUUGGUGGGGUAGUGCCUUCCCAAGGCUUUGGCGGGUCGCGGGCUGGAGGGGGUGACCGGCCAAAUGGGGACUGGAUAACGGCCCGGCUCCCAAGGGGGGGAGGCGGUGGGGAAAAUGGAAAAAGGGGGGGAGGCCGGAGGCAGGAACGCCGCGGGCGGGUGGACGGCCUUCGGUUGGUAAACCGCUUUCGCCUGUGACGAAGGGUGAGUGACGGUAAUGGGUAAAGAAGCACCGGCUAACUACGUG
rnacentral:rRNA from 1 species